rnacentral:miRNA from 14 species
GGGGACAGGGAUUGGUGUGGGG